AUGGGGAAUGUGGAGCAACACUUGGGAAAUGCAACGCCAACAACCUUGUUGCAUUAUCAGUUGAGUGAUAUGUGGAGGAGUCCUAGGGGUCCAGUGCUUCGUAUCGAGGGAUUAGCACUGGUGGCAAUUGCGUGCUCCUUCUUCCUUGUUGCCUUUGGGUCAUGUCGCCGCUGGUCCAAUAGUUGGAUUAUCCAAAAGGGUUUCUUGGCCGCACAAGUGUUAUCUUUGUCCCUUGGGACUUACAGCAUUGGCCUAAUGCAGUCUUCGCCGGUGAAGAGCGAGAUGUAUCCUAUAUGGGCUGUGUCCUUACUCACACUGUUUGGCUGCAUCGACCCAGUCACCACCUACGUCGGCCUUGAAUACAAGGGCCCACUCUUGAAGAUUAUAUUUCAGCUUUGCCUCUACUGUGGAUAUGUCUUGCUGAUGAGUGUGUCAACCAUCUCCGGUGGUGUUGGUAAAUUAGCCAUUGGCUUGCUAUCUGUCAUCACCUUCAUCAAGGGCUUUCAUAUGUCAUUGGCGCUUGUCCUGCCAAGCAGAACACGGGAAAGGAUAGAAGACUUUAUCUAUAUAGAACCCAUAGCUUUAGCAGGUGGGGGUGAGAAACUUCGAGUCCUACUAUAUGAAGACAAUCUUUAUCCAACUAGAAUGGAGGACAUACGUUCGAGCUGCAAUGAAAUGGUGGGUAAGCUAAAAUUGAAAGAGGCCACGACCAAUGGCAUUGAAGAUGUGUGCCUUGGCUACUCUCUAUCUCAUUUGUUACAACGUCGUUUCCUUGGGUUGGCCACCGCUAGGGAAAUGGAGUUGAAAAUUGAGGAAUUUGAAAAUGUUGCACAGACUGGCCGGGCCAUCGACUAUAAGAGGACCUUGAAGGCGAUUGAGGUUGAGUUGGCUUUUCUGUACGAUAUGUUUUUCACCAGCAAUUGGUUCCUUCACUGCUAUGAAUCAAAAACCUCUAGCUUCUGGGCAUUCGCUUCAUUCAUUGGGAUAUGUCUUGUUGGGGUAGCGCUUGCCAUUCCUGGGGCAAUGUCUAGCCGCCACCGUGUUACAGGCUCUAAUAGUCCUAGUGCGGGCACUAUUGUUGUUAACACCACAAGAGGUGACCUGACCAUUACUCUUGUUAUAUUGGUGUCUAUGGCUCUGCUGCAAUUGAUGCAGUUGAUACGGUGUUGGACGUCAAAUUUGGCACAAGUCGCCUUUGCCUGCCAGUAUGACAGGAACGAAUACAUCUCCAACCGAAAUAGCUGGUGGAUGAGAUUGAAAGCGUUUGUGGUUACCAGGAUGAAUUGGUUUGACAAGUACCUCUGGCAAGAUAAGCUCGGGCAGUAUUCACUAGUUGAUGAGAAAGUGAGCAGGAGAAAAGCAGAAUGUCGUAUGACGUGCGCCAUAGAAAUUGCAAAUUUAUGCGUGCUGACAUGUUAUCACUUGUCUCGGAUUGUUGGAUUGCAUUACUUUGGACGCGUGCUCUGGGAAUUGUGGGCCUGUGAUACAAGCACAGCCGUCAGGUUGCACGACGAUGUGAAGGCAUCCAUCGCCGAUUUUCUGGGCAAGAUCAAGAGCAGGAGAAUAGGGGUGGAGUGGUCGUCUUUGUUUGUGGACUAG
rnacentral:rRNA from 1 species